ACCUAAAGUUUGAAAUCUGUGCUCUUUCAAAUUUAAUUUAACAAACAUCUUUUGAUUUAUUGAUUGUUUAUGAUGUUCCAGACCAGGCAAGGGGACCUACACAGAGGAUGAAGAAUAGGACAUAUCUUCAAGGGAGGUUCUUAAUGUAGGAGCAAUUUGAAGUGGAUUCAGUUUUAUAGAUAAUAAGCAUGAGAGUAAAGAUCACAGCAGACAUUUGGUUACUAAAGAAACCUCCCAUUGGAUCUGCCACACUCUCUCCAUCCUCCCACUGGCCAGCUGGAAGCAGAAGCAUCAGGAGAGAACGUCAGGUUCUAAAGGAUGGUGAAACCACAGGCUGAAAGGAGACUGGUCUCAGAAUCAC
rnacentral:lncRNA from 1 species